GUGGCAUUCAGUGCUUUGACCAUUGUUUCACACUCAAUGCCUCUUCUACAGUACAAAUUUGAUGUCUUGUUCUAGACGUUUUGAUUAUAGUUACUUAAGGCAUCACGCCUGACGUGUUUUGAGCUGCUAUAAAUGGAUGCAAUCAAGGACUUUUCCAAGCAUCUUAGCCAUUGAAUUUAAUUUCAAUAUCAUCAACAAGUUUUGGCUCCAUAAACAAUUACUAUCAAUGAUUCCAGUAUAAGUUUAGGUAUUCAUGUUAGAAAUGUGUGCUAAUAGACAAAGCACAUCUGAAUUUUCUAUUAAAAAUGAUUCUGUUUUCUUGGGGUUGCAAUUGAUGAGAGAUGUUGGUGAAGCUAAUCAUAUAGAAUUCCGGAGGUAAUUUCCUUGCUAAUUUGUUUUUGAUAUUUCUUUUGUCUAUUAUCAGUUUCGAAUGCCAUUUUUUUAAGUUAAGAAAAUUUGAUUUUGAUAUUUCCAUUCCAUCAAUGCUGCAAGUUAGUUAUUUGAUAAAUUUCUUGAAGAAUCAAACUCUAGGCGUUGGUCGUACCAUUGAGGUUGUCAAAAGACAUUUUCAGGAGUUGAUAUUAAGAUGUUUGGUUUAUCUUUCGGCUUCAUUUAAUAAACAAGCGUCAAAUUCCAUCUAAAGAAAGUGUUUCAUGCUGGACCAUCAGGAUUAAGAAACUCAUGUUUACCAAUUACCACUAAACUUUAAGGUGAGCAUGAUUGAAUGAAUUAAGGCUUGUACAAUCUUCUAGCAGUUCCAUUCAACACUUUGGUACAUUAUUUAGUGAAAUUUCUCUAAGUGUCUAUUAAUUUGUGAGAGCAAUUAUUCAAAUUACUUUCUUCAGCUUCUGUGAUUCUUUGCUUAAACUGUUAAUUUGACAUUUCUUCACGAUACAGGCACUCUAGUUGUUAUGCAAUCUUGCCCCCUCCACGAGAGCUCUCCACUGUAAAGCAAGUCAUAAAUUUUGAUGAAUUGCUUGAGAAUCAAUUAAUGUCAGGAGUUAGUGUUCUACACGUGUGGCACAUUCAAUAAUGAGGCAUCAAAUUCCAUCUAUUGAAGAUGUUUUAGUUGGAUUGUCAAGAUUCAGAAAGCCAGUGUAAGGAAAAUGAUGAACAUUUGAUACAUUCUUGCUUGUUACCAAGCUCAUUGGCUACAGUGUUCUGUGCUUGCUAAUUGCAUGGAUUUAUAUAUUUUCACCUUAUUUUUCAUUCCCCUCAAUCACUUGGAAUUCAGCAGUAUCUUUGCUAAAGGCAGGGGAAUUAAAAGAGGAUCAAAAUUGGAAAUAAAUGAAGUGAAGGAUUGGUUGAAGUGGACUUAACAGGGGAUGAUACAGCAAAGGUGAUAUGAUGGCAAAUAAUUCAAUAGAAUCAGUUGUUCCCAUGGAUGUUAAAAACUUCAAGUGGUUAGCCUCAAGCAAGGCACUACAGCGGGUUGUGAACAUUUAAUCCAUCAGAUACAUUAUUGAAAGUAUAUAUAAAAGCAAGCACGGCUUAACUAUGAUCUGUUGCCAGGCGAAUGGCAGAAGAAAUUCUUUGAAACUGAUGAAGCAUUUUUGGCUAGAUAUUACGUCUUUGAAAAGGUGGGAUAGUCUUUUCCAGUGAAUGUUUUGGAUGAGUUUGUGUUCUUCUUGGCUGGUAUCAAGUGGUAUUAUUUCACUACAAAAGGUGUUGAUCGAACCAUCGAGGUUGCCAAAAAAGAAAAUUACAUAAUCUUGUCAAAGUAAUGAGGUUCAUUUUGCAUUUUACAUCUACACAUACUACCUCACAUUAAGUUGUUUGGUUUAUCUUUUGGCUUUAUUGAGUAAACAUUUUCACUGCUAGUUCCAUUGUUGCAAGCGAAAGAUAGGAUUAACUCUAGUUUUGAUAAAGUCUUUUGUUUAAGAUGGAAUAGUUUUUGUAUUUACGGUGGAUGGCAGAAGCAAAUCUUUUGAAGUGAUGAAGUCCCAGCUCUG